UACUUUGCGUGGGGAGGUAAAGUCCCUCUCCCUCCUCCCAGUGUUCUCCGACAAGCGAGGGAGUGACUCAUUUGGUCUUUCUUUAAGGAGAGGAGAUUUCCAGAGUAAAAUGAUUGGACAGUGAGAUGGAAACCAAUCAUAAAACUUUUUUUUUCCUCUUUCUUUCGUGAGGUAAAUGUUGAUUUCCGGACUGAAUCAGCAGCACCCAACCUCUGCUGGCAGGUGGAUGACCGAGAGUAACCUCUGCGUAGCCUCAGUCAGCGGCAACCACCCUCCCGCCUCCUUAGCACAAAAGACAGCCGCAACGCAGAGCAGCUCAGCGCACAGCCUGAAGCUCUGCAGCCAGUUUGGGGGAGCAAGCAACGGCUGUGGUCCCUGACCCCAGCCCCCUCCGUCCUCGCCAAGAUCGAGGAGGGAGCAGACCUGCGGAAGCAAAGCUACAACAAGAAAAGGACAGAACCUGUCAUGAAGUACCAAUGGCCUAUCCAAGGAGUCCGAGCAAUUGAUUUCAAUGAAAUUUACAACACAUAUUUAUUAAGUUUCUACUAUAUAUAAGAUACCAUGCUGGAUUAUGAAGAUAUAAAGACAAACAUGAAACAAUCCAUGCUCUCCAGUAUGCUGCAUUCACACCUUGGCAGAUGGGGAAGGACCAUGUACACAAAUCUCCUCUGAAGCACCAGGUGGGAGUAAACUAAACAGAACAAACAAAGAAGAAGAAAAGAAAACAAAGAAAAAGUAAAAAGAUGAGAAAACAACAACACUAACUGCAAUGUUCCACCAUUUUAUGAUACAUUGCAUAUGGCAUGGCAUUGAAACUUCAACAUUUCCAUCUGAGGAAGUAAUUCUUUGCAAAUCCAGGGACUUCAGAGCAUAACCAUUUACCAGCCUGUAGUACUAUGCUGAGAGGUCAAUGAGGAGCAAAGAAAAAGGAAGAAGUGGAAUCACUUAUGGAUGCUCAAUUUUUUAAAAGAGUUGGCUCCCCACUAUCAAAGAGGUUUAUCUGCAUUCCUUCUUGGGAAAGGUGUAGUAUGCACAAGCUAAACUGAUGUGUUUUGGCAAGAUAAGUUUCUUUGGAAAUCUAGGUGAAUUUUCUGCUGCUUCUGCAUUUUCCUUUACAGAAAAGUUAUUGUGUUCCAUUGUACCUAUCACUGAAUAUGAGAGAACAUGACAGAUUUCAAAUGUGGUACGUAUGCAAACUAUUUUCCUUUAACAGAUUUAAAACUAGAUUAGUAAAACAAAAAUUUUGUUUUAUUCCAAUUAUACCUGUAUAUUAACUUUUUAAUACACAUUUCUUUAUGAAUCUUUAUGGGAGAAAAAAAUCAAAAUAAAAGGGAAAAACCAUAAGAGGAAAAAAAAAACAGAAAAAAAUGAACAUAGUAUGUAUUGAUUUACAUUGUCUCUACAAUUCUCUUUCUGAAUGCGGAUGGUAUUUUCUAUUCAAAAUUUAACUUCUAACAAAUUUUAAAAGCAAAUGGAAGACCCUAUAAAUGGUGAUGUUUCUGUCAGUACUGCAGUCAAUAGAAGCUGUGUUAUAUGUUUUUCCUUUGGUCCAGAACUGAUGUUAUUGCUGUAAGGCUCUCCUCCUGAGGAAACUCUCUCCUCUACUAAUGCAGAAUUGCAAUUUAUAGAAUGGGAGAGAUUCCUGAGGGCACUGAGAGGUUAAGGAAGUUAAAUGACUUGUCCAGGAUCACAAGGACCAGUAUGUCAGAAGCCAGACUUGAGUUCAUACGUUUUGGACUUUGAGAUCAGUUUUCCAUCCACUACCCACUACUGCCUUUUAUAUUACAGGGCUCCGAGCAGCAAAUAAGAGGUGGUAUACAGUACAAUAUACAAUAAAAUACACAAUAAAAAAUACUAAUAAGUAAAUACAAUAAAAACACAUACAAUAAAAAAUACUAAUUCUGGAGCCAAAAAGGCCUGGGUUCAAAUCUUUUCUUUGCUGCUUACUGCCACGGUUAUUUAGUCACUAAACUUUCCUGGGCCUCAGUUUUCUUAUCUGUAAAAUGAAGUUACAUUAAAAAGGGCCUUUUCAGCUACGUAUAUGUAUGAAUCAAUGUUUAUUAUACAUUGUAUAGGACUUUGUGAAAAGUCUUGGGGUGGUGGAGAGAGGCACAUGUAAUCUAAUGGAGGAAAUAAGACUCUUACAGAGAUAACUAUAACAUAAGGCAGAAUGGACUAGGUAACAUUUGAAUAGUGCAAAGUUCAUUAGAUCUUCAAAGGAAGGAAAGAGCCCUCUUAGAGAACUCACUUUCAAGCAAAACUGAAAGUUCACAUAUAGCACUGGUUAUAAUUAAUUGUUGUUAUUAAAAAAAAACACAAUCAUGGAAGUAAUUAAAAUCAUGUGGUAAUAAUAUUGAAAUGAAUCAGGAACUAAUCCCAAAUUCUAAUUCAGAGUGCAAUAUUUCA